rnacentral:rRNA from 1 species
CUUCGGGGGUAUAUAAAGUGGCGAAAGGGCGAGGACAACGUUCCUACGUACCCCGAGGUCGAGGAUAGCCCAGGGAAACUUGGAGUAAUACUCGAUGUGGUCUUCGGAUCAAAGAUUUAUCGCCUUGGGAGCGGGGAACGCCCUAUCAGGUUGUUGGUGAGGUAACGGCUCACCAAGCCUUAGACGGGUAGCGGGUGUGAGAGCAUGACCCGCCGCAUCGGGACUGAGACACUGCCCGGACUCCUACGGGAGGCUGCAGUAACGAAUAUUCCGCAAUGCGCGAAAGCGUGACGGAGCAAUGCCGCGUGCAGGAUGAAGCCCUUCGGGGUGUAAACUGCUGUCAGGGUUUAGGAAGUUCUGACCAAACCCAAAGGAAGGGCCGGCUAACUUCGUGCCAGCAGCCGCGGUAAUACGAAGGGCCCGAGCGUUACUCGGAAUCAUUGGGCUUAAAGCGUACGCAGGCGGAUGCGCAGGCGUCGUGUGAAAUCCCUCCGCUCAACGGAGGAACUGCACGGCGAACCGCGUGUCUUGAGACAAGAAGGGGCGA